rnacentral:rRNA from 1 species
GAAGGAUCAUUAUCGAGCCAAGAAAAAAAAAAGUCUCCGAACGUGCAUAAGCACAAUUUGCACGUAUGCGUGAGCCGCGAAUCAAGCUGCACACAUGUGGUGCCGGUGUAGCCGUCAGCCGUGCUUUAUUGGCAGACAAUGGCAUGUGGCUUGGUGCGUGUUGAGGGGAAAUGGGUGACGUGCUGGGCAAGUUAGAAAGGCGCGUCGAUAGCGCCCAUUUUCUCGCUAUUCUUAAACAACGGUGUCCAGUUUGGCGUCUGCGCCUCACCUAGCUAUUGCCCGGACCGUCGGUAGCGAUGAAAGGUGGGGAGAAAGCUCCUCGUUUCGAGUUGAGUAGACUUAAUGAGCAUCAGCUGGGAUGCCGCCAAAAACCAAAAACACAAUCAGUUAAGUUGAUGUUGUUGAAUUGUCGAGGAUGAGCGCUGUUCUCGUGCAACGCUGCGCAGCUUAUGUUGUUGUUGCUAGUGAACAUGCUCGAGUCGACGAAGUAUGUACAAAUCUUAGCGGUGGAUCACUCGGUUCGUGGAUCGAUGAAGAACGCAGCUAGCUGCGAUAAAUAGUGCGAAUUGCAGACACAUUGAGCACUAAAAUUUCGAACGCACAUUGCGCCAUCGGGUUCAUUCCCGUUGGCACGUCUGGCUGAGGGUCAGUAUAUUAAGGAGUAUGAUGGGCGCGCCAAUUUAUGGAAUGUGAUUAACGCGCAAGGUUGUGGUGCAUUCGGUGAGCUAUGCUGGUGUGGUAAUGGAUAUUGUGCAAUUGUACAGCGUACCUUGCCAAGGAAAUAUUCGCACAAGAAAUGGCUGUCGUUUGCUCGUAAAGAGGCAAAAUUGGCCAUGAGUGUAUGUUGCGUUGCUUCACGAUACGGCCUCCAGCAAACGUUGUUUAUUGUUUGGUUGUGGCAGCAUCCAGGUUGGAGGUGGCGUUAUCGGUCGCUUGAAUGAGGAAUGCAUGGCGAAUGGUUGAAAUGAGAUUUUUUUUUUUUGACCUCAGCUCAGUCGUGAGCACCCGCUGAAUUUAAGCAUAUAACUA